rnacentral:rRNA from 1 species
GAUGAACGCUGGCGGCGUGCCUAAUUCAUGCAAGUCGAGCGAACGGACGAGAAGCUUGCUUCUCUGAUGUUAGCGGCGGACGGGUGAGUAACACGUGGAUAACCUACCUAUAAGACUGGGAUAACUUCGGGAAACCGGAGCUAAUACCGGAUAAUAUUUUGAACCGCAUGGUUCAAAAGUGAAAGACGGUCUUGCUGUCACUUAUAGAUGGAUCCGCGCUGCAUUAGCUAGUUGGUAAGGUAACGGCUUACCAAGGCAACGAUGCAUAGCCGACCUGAGAGGGGAAUCGGCCCCACUGGAACUGAGACACGGUCCAGACCCCUAGGGGAGGCAGCAGUAGGAAAUCUUCCGAAAGGGGGGAAAGCCGGACGGGGCAACGCCGGGGGAGUGAUGAAGGUCUGCGGUUCGUAAAACUCUUUUUUGAGGGAAGAAAAUAUGGUUAAGUAACUGUGCAAAUUUUGACGGUACCUAAGAAAAAAGCCAGGGCUAACUCCGG